rnacentral:rRNA from 1 species
GGGACACGUGGUAUCCUGUCUGAAUAUGGGGGGACCAUCCUCCAAGGCUAAAUACUCCUGACUGACCGAUAGUGAACCAGUACCGUGAGGGAAAGGCGAAAAGAACCCCGGCGAGGGGAGUGAAAAAGAACCUGAAACCGUGUACGUACAAGCAGUGGGAGCCUCUUAAUGGGGUGACUGCGUACCUUUUGUAUAAUGGGUCAGCGACUUAUAUUCUGUAGCAAGGUUAACCGAAUAGGGGAGCCGAAGGGAAACCGAGUCUUAACUGGGCGUUAAGUUGCAGGGUAUAGACCCGAAACCCGGUGAUCUAGCCAUGGGCAGGUUGAAGGUUGGGUAACACUAACUGGAGGACCGAACCGACUAAUGUUGAAAAAUUAGCGGAUGACUUGUGGCUGGGGGUGAAAGGCCAAUCAAACCGGGAGAUAGCUGGUUCUCCCCGAAAGCUAUUUAGGUAGCGCCUCGUGAAUUCAUCUCCGGGGGUAGAGCACUGUUUCGGCAAGGGGGUCAUCCCGACUUACCAACCCGAUGCAAACUGCGAAUACCGGAGAAUGUUAUCACGGGAGACACACGGCGGGUGCUAACGUCCGUCGUGAAGAGGGAAACAACCCAGACCGCCAGCUAAGGUCCCAAAGUCAUGGUUAAGUGGGAAACGAUGUGGGAAGGCCCAGACAGCCAGGAUGUUGGCUUAGAAGCAGCCAUCAUUUAAAGAAAGCGUAAUAGCUCACUGGUCGAGUCGGCCUGCGCGGAAGAUGUAACGGGGCUAAACCAUGCACCGAAGCUGCGGCAGCGACGCUUAUGCGUUGUUGGGUAGGGGAGCGUUCUGUAAGCCUGUGAAGGUGU